AGCUUUGCAUAGUAGCAGUAUUGUAGCCAAUGAGGUUUAUCCGAGGCGCGAUUAUUGCUAAUUGAAAAAGCUGCCCAAAUAGAGGUCUAGGGUCAAGAUGUAGUAAUAGCAGAAGUUCCCAGUAGACACCUCACAGUAUUUAUGACGCACUUCUCAGGGC
rnacentral:snRNA from 1 species